GUAUGAGAGUGUAUAUAAGAAGUUCUAUGGGGAGGCAGGUAGCCUAGUGGUUAGAGUGUAGAGGAGGCAGGUAGCCUAGUGGUUAGAGUGUAGAGGGGGCAGGGUAGCCUAGUGGUUAGAGUGUAGAGGAGGCAGGUAGUCUAGUGAUUAGAGUGUAGAGGGGGCAGGGUAGCCUAGUGGUUAGAGUGUAGAGGAGGCAGGUAGCCUAGUGGUUAGAGUGUAGAGGGGGCAGGUAGCCUAGUGGUUAGAGUGUAGAGGCGGCAGGGUAGCCUAGUGGUUAGAGUGUAGAGGCGGCAGGGUAGCCUAGUGGUUAGAGUGUAGAGGAGGCAGGUAGCCUAGUGGUUAGAGUGUAGAGGCGGCAGGGUAGCCUAGUGGUUAGAGUGUAGAGGCGGCAGGGUAGCCUAGUGGUUAGAGUGUAGAGGAGGCAGGGUAGCCUAGUGGUUAGAGUGUAGAGGAGGCAGGUAGCCUAGUGGUUAGAGUGUAGAGGAGGUAGGGUGCCCUAGUGGUUAGAGUGUAGAGGAGGUAGGGUAGCCUAGUGGUUAGAGUGUAGAGGAGGAAGGUAGCCUAGUGGUUAGAGUGUAGAGGAGGUAGGGUGCCCUAGUGGUUAGAGUGUAGAGGAGGUAGGGUAGCCUAGUGGUUAGAGUGUAGAGGCGGCAGGGUAGCCUAGUGGUUAGAGUGUAGAGGCGGUAGGGUAGCCUAGUGGUUAGAGUGUAGAGGAGGCAGGUAGCCUAGUGGUUAGAGUGUAGAGGUGGCAGGGUAGCCUAGUGGUUAGAGUGUAGAGGCGGCAGGGUAGCCUAGUGGUUAGAGUGUAGAGGAGGCAGGGUAGCCUAGUGGUUAGAGUGUAGAGGUGGCAGGGUAGCCUAGUGGUUAGAGUGUAGAGGCGGCAGGGUAGCCUAGUGGUUAGAGUGUAGAGGAGGCAGGGUAGCCUAGUGGUUAGAGUGUAGAGGAGGCAGGUAGCCUAGUGGUUAGAGUGUAGAGGCGGCAGGGUAGCCUAGUGGUUAGAGUGUAGAGGAGGUAGGGUGGCCUAGUGGUUAGAGUGUAGAGGAGGCAGGGUAGCCUAGUGGUUAGACUAUAGAAGAGGCAGGGUAGUCUAGUGGUUAGAGUGUAGAGGAGGCAGGAGGCCUCGUGGUUAGAGCGUUGGACUAGUAACCGAAAGGUUGCAAGAUCAAAUCCCCAGCUGACAAGGUUUGUUCUAAACUGACUUGCCUAGUUAAAUAAAUAAAUAUAUGGUUUAAAAAGAUGAGAGAGGCCUGUAAUUUUCAUCAUAGGUACACUUCAACUAGACAAAAUGAGAAAAAAUCACAUUGUACAAAUUUUAAUUAAUUUAUUUUCAAAUUAUGGUGGAUGGUGGUCACCUACAAACAACAGGAUUUUAAUCCAUGACGGCGUAGUGUGUUACUAAUGGUUUUCUUUGAGACUGUGGUCCCAGCUCUCUUCAGGUCAUUGACCAGGUCCUGCGGUGUAGUUCUGGGCUGAUCCCUCACCUUCCUCAUGAUCAUUGAUGCCCCACGAGGUGAGAUCUUGCAUGGAGCCCCAGACCGAGGGUGAUUGACCGUCAUCUUGAACUUCUUCCAUUUUCUAAUAAUUGCGCCAACAGUUGUUGCCUUCUCACCAAGCUGCUUGCCUAUUGUCCUGUAGCCCAUCCCAGCCUUGUUCAGGUCUACAAUUUCAUCCCUGAUGUCCUUACACAGCUCUCUGGUCUUGGCCAUUGUGGAGAGGUUGGAGUCUGUUUGAUUGAGUGUGUGGACAGGUGUCUUUUAUACAGGUAACAAGUUCAAACAGGUGCAGUUAAUACAGGUAAUGAGUGGAGAACAGGAGGGCUUCUUAAAGAAAAACUAACAGGUCUGUGAGAGACGGAAUUCUUACUGGUUGGUAGGUGAUCAAAUACUUAUGUCAUGCAAUAAAAUGCAAAUGAAUUACUUAAAUAUCAUACAAUGUGAUUUUCUGGAUUUUUGUUUUAGAUUCUGUCUCUCACAGUUGAAGUGUACCUAUGACCUCUACAUGCUUUGUAAGUAGGAAAACCUGCAAAAUCGGCAGUGUAUCAAAUACUUGUAUAUAUAUGAGAGUGUAUAUAAGAGCUUAUAAAUUGAUGAAAGUGUAUAUUUAAAACGUAUAUGUUGAUGGGAACGUAAAUAAGAGCUUAUAUAUUGAUGAGAGUGUAUUUUAGAGCUUAUAUAUGGAUGAGAGUGUUUAUAAGAGGUUAUAUAUAGAUGUUUUUUUUUUUUUACCUUUAUUUAACUAGUCAAGUUCAGUUAAGAACAAAUUCUUAUUUUCAAUGACGGCCUAAGAACAGUGGGUUAACUGCCUGUUCAGGGGCAGAACAGCAGAUUUGUACCUUGCCAGCUCAGGGGUUUGAACUUGCAACCUUCCAGUUACUAGUCCAACGCUCUAACCACUAGGCUACCCUGCCGCCCCAGGUGAUGAGAGUGUUUAUAAGAGCUUAUAUAUUGAUGUUUAUAAGAGCUUAUAUAUUGAUGAGAGUGUUUAUAAGAGCUUAUAUAUUGAUGAGAGUGUUUAUAAGAGCUUAUAUAUUGAUGAGAGUGUAUAUAAGAGCUUAUAUAUUGAUGAGAGUGUAUUGAGGAGCUUAUAUCUGGAAUAGAGUGUACAUAAGCGCUUAUAUAUUGAUGAGAUUGUAUAUAUACAGCAUGUUAUAUAUGCUGUUAUAUAUAUAUAUAUAUAUUGGACAUUUUCACUUAGGGGUGUACUCACUUUUGUUGCCAGCAGUUUAGACAGUAAUGGCUGUGUGUUGAGUUAUUUUGAGGGGACAGCAAAUUUACACUGCUAUACAAGCUGUACACUCACCACUUUACAUUGUAGCAAAGUGUCAUUUCUUCAGUGUUGUCACAUGAAAAGAUAUACUCGAAUAUUUACAAAAAUGUGAGGGGUGUACUCACUUUUCUGAUAUACUGUAUAUUGGUGACAGUGUAUACAAGAACUUACAUCAAAUUUGAACCAAUCAAAUGUAUUUAUAAAGCCCUUCUUACAUCAGCUGAUAUGUCAAAGUGCUGUACAGAAACUCAGCAUUAAUCCCCAAACAGCAAUAAUAUAAUAAUAUAUGCCAUUUAGCAGACGCUUUUAUCCAAAGCGACUUACAGUCAUGUGUACAUACAUUCUACGUAUGGGUGGUCCCGGGAAUCGAACCCACUACCCUGGCGUUACAAGCGCCAUGCUCUACCAACUGUGCAAUGCAGGUGUAGAAGCACGGUGGCUAGGAAACUCCCUAGAAAGGCCAAAACCUAGGAAGAAACCCAGAGAGGAACCAGGUUAUGAGGGGUGGGCCAGUCCUCUUCUGGCUGUGCCGGGUGGAGAUUAUAACAGAACAUGGCCAAGAUGUUCAAAUGUUCAUAAAUGACCAGCAGGGUCAAAUAAUAAUAAUCUCAGUCGUUGUCGAGGGUGCAACGGUCAGCACCUCAGGAGUAAAUGUCAGUUGUCUUUUCAUAGCCAAUCAUUCAGAGUGUCUCUACUGCUCCUGCGCUCUCUAGAGAGUUAAAUACCGCAGGUCUGGGACAGGUAGCACGUCCGGUGAACAGGUCAGGGUUCCAUAGCCGCAGGCAGAACAGUUGAAACUGGAGCAGCAGCCGGGCCAGGUGGACUGGGGACAACAAGGAGUCGUCAGGCCAGGUAGUCCUGAGGCACGGUCCUAGGGCUCAGGUACUCCGAGAGGAGAGUAAGAAAGAAAGAAACAAAGAAAGAAAGAAAGAAAGAGAAAAAGAGAAAAAUAGAAAAAGAGAAAAAGAAAAUUAGAGAGAGUAUACUUAAAUUCACACAGGACACCGGAUAAGACAGGAGAAAUACUCCAGAUAUAACAGACUGACCCUAGCCCCCCGACACAAACUACUGCAGCAUAAAUACUGGAGGCUGAGACAGGAGGGGUUGGGAGACACUGUGGCCCCAUCCGACGAUACUCCCGGACAGGGCCAAACAGGCAGGAUAUAACCCCACCCACUUUGCCAAGCACAGCCCCCACACCACUAGAGGGAUAUCUUCAACCACCAACUUACCAUCCUGAGACAAGGCGGAGUAUAGCCCACAAAGAUCUCCACCACGGCACAACCCAAGGUGGGGCGCCACCCCGGACAGGAAGAUCAUGUCAGUGACUCACUGACUCACUCACUCACAGUGACCCACUCAAGUGACGCACCCCUCCCAGGGACGGCAUGGAAGAGCACCAGUAAGCCAGUGACUCAGCCCCUGUAUUAGGGUUAGAGGCAGAGAAUCCUAUUGGAGAGAGGGGUGGUGAUGAGAGCUUAUAUAUUUAUGAGUGUAUAAAAGAGCUUAUUUAUUGAUGAGAGUAUUUAUAAGAGUUUAUAUAUUGGUGAGAGUGUUUUUAGGACCUUAUAUGUUAAUUAGAUUGUAUAUCAGAGUGUAUGUAUUGAUGAGAGUGUAUAUAGGAGCUUAAAUAUUGUACUGAACAUCCUGUUCUUCCUAGUCAAUGUGCCUCUGCUUCUGUUUUUGUUUUCUUUUUGAGGUCUUUUGCUGAGUUUCAAGGGCUCACUAGUCUUUACUAAAGCCAAGGGCUCACUAGUCUUUACUAAAGCCAAGGGCUCACUAGUCUUUACUAAAGCCAAGGGCUCACUAGUCUUUACUAAAGCCAAGGGCUCACUAGUCUCUACUAAAGCCAAGGGCUCACUAGUCUCCACUAAAGCCAAGGGCUCACUAGUCUUUACUAAAGCCAA